ACCCUACGCCUGGCGCGCGGAGCAGGGAGUAGCCGCCCUCCCCUUCGGGCGUGGACGGAGCCUGUGCCCGGGCCCCGCCGCACUCCUCUCCUCCCGCCACCCCUAGCUCGCCGGUUCCCUCCCCCCGGCCACGACGCGGCGGGGGGCGGGGCCGCGGCCUUGGCCCCGCCCCCACCACGGCGCAUCUCCUCCGCCUCCGUUCCAGACCCUGGGCUGGUGCCUCCACUAGCCCGGGUAGCUGGGAAAUGCUUCUGGGACGCCGCCCGCUGGCCUCUCGGGGCCGUCCACGGGCAGCGGGGGAGGGGGCAGGGAAGGGACUUGAGGCUCGCGCGCCCCGGACCCGCUUCCCGCCUCAAUCCGUGGCAGCCCAGACGGCAGAAGAUGAAGGUUUUAUUUUAUUUAGUGAAACACUCUUUUGAAGGCUCAAAGUCUCCUCCGUUGGCUGCAGAGACUCCUCCAUUGAGAGUCACCUCUUCUGGGUCCGAAACUGUCGGAAGAGCCACUGGACGAUGAAGGGCCACAGGAGGAAGAAGAGCAGCGUGGGAACAGAGAGCCCAGUGCCGGGCCUUGGCCUCUGCCGCCAAGGGGAGAGAGUCAGGAGCCAGCCCGGGCCUCAGCACAGGCUGGGCCCUCCUUCGCAACCUGCUUGCAGAGCUCAGGUGCCGAGAAGGCUGAAGGCUGGAGAGGCUGCUGAGUGGAGAGACUGGCUUCGAGGCGUCUCCUCUGGGCCACAAAGCAGUGACCCUGUUGGUGUGGCCCGAAGACCCCAUAUUGUAAAGGACAUGCCACAUAUUUCAAAUGAGGACCCUGGGUGCUCAGAUUUUAGUUUCUAAAUACCAUUCUCUGCUGAAUGGAGAAGUGGCAGAUUUUAGGUCUGGAGCAGGGAAGGUAGAAUUGAAUGUGAGACGUCUUGUACCAGGAAGCAAGGAAGCUUUUAAAGAUUAAUGAGGUCAAAUUACCAGAACAUAGGACCCAGCUUGAAAGGGUCCCACCAAAGUUGUGACAGCCUGGGCAUCAAAAAGAAUGAUGAUUGCAGUUGACUGAAAUACUGAGUCUUUAAAAUCCAUGAGUUCAUGAUGAUACUCAAAGAGAAAGGGGAAAUUUAUCACCACUGAGGUGGCUGUUAAAUCAACUCCUUACUCUAAAAAUAGAUAAUUAAAGAGAAAGAAUUAAGCACUUAUUCUGCCUUCCAUAAGGCACUGUAUUUCAGGGAAAUCCUAGAUGAUCAGGGAAACUCUACAGAAAAAUGACAGCUAAUAAAUGUUAAAGGAAUAAUAGAAUUUAAAAGUCAACAUUGUUUUUUGUAACCAGUAAAUAAAUUAUUGAUCCAGGCAAGGAGUAUCUAUCAAUUGUCAAAAGCUGUAUGUCAAAUGGGCUUGAUGGGGAACUGGACAUUCCCUGGCUGCAAGUGGUGGGAACAGACUGUCACCCCUUCAUCCCUGCUAGUGGUCCACGCUAAAAUCAUUCACGGUAGGACAUCCAAAUAUGUGUCCCUUGAUGUAAAGAAAGAACAUCACUUCUGAUGUAAUCUGGUCAUGUAAACUAGCCAGGAGGCUGUCAUCAGACAGACCACAAGAGUGGAACAUUCUACAGGACCACUAUCCAGUCUCAUCCGCAAGUCAGUAGCAGGGAAGAGGGACUAGUCUAGACUAACAGAG